rnacentral:rRNA from 1 species
GAUGAGCGCUGGCGGCGUGCCUAAUACAUGCAAGUCGAGCGAACAGACGAGGAGCUUGCUCCUCUGACGUUAGCGGCGGACGGGUGAGUAACACGUGGAUAACCUACCUAUAAGACUGGGAUAACUUCGGGAAACCGGAGCUAAUACCGGAUAAUAUAUUGAACCGCAUGGUUCAAUAGUGAAAGACGGUUUUGCUGUCACUUAUAGAUGGAUCCGCGCCGCAUUAGCUAGUUGGUAAGGUAACGGCUUACCAAGGCAACGAUGCGUAGCCGACCUGAGAGGGUGAUCGGCCACACUGGAACUGAGACACGGUCCAGACUCCUACGGGAGGCAGCAGUAGGGAAUCUUCCGCAAUGGGCGAAAGCUUGACGGAGCAACGCCGCGUGUGUGAUGAAGGUCUUCGGAUCGUAAAACUCUGUUAUUAGGGAAGAACAAAUGUGUAAGUAACUAUGCACGUCUUGACGGUACCUAAUCAGAAAGCCACGGCUAACUACGUG